rnacentral:rRNA from 1 species
UGGGGAAUUUUGGACAAUGGGCGCAAGCCUGAUCCAGCAAUGCCGCGUGCAGGAUGAAGGCCUUCGGGUUGUAAACUGCUUUUGUACGGAACGAAAAGCCCUUCUCUAAUACAGAGGGGUCAUGACGGUACCGUAAGAAUAAGCACCGGCUAACUACGUGCCAGCAGCCGCGGUAAUACGUAGGGUGCAAGCGUUAAUCGGAAUUACUGGGCGUAAAGCGUGCGCAGGCGGUUUUGCAAGACAGAUGUGAAAUUCCCGGGCUCAACCUGGGAACUGCAUUUGUGACUGCAUAGCUGGAGUGCGGCAGAGGGGGAUGGAAUUCCGCGUGUAGCAGUGAAAUGCGUAGAUAUGCGGAGGAACACCGAUGGCGAAGGCAAUCCCCUGGGCCUGCACUGACGCUCAUGCACGAAAGCGUGGGGAGCAAACA